UAUUAAAAAUUUUAUCCAUUUGUAUUGUUAAAAACUAACAUAGUUGAUGAAAUAACUAGACAGUGACACAUAGCAUGCCACAUGUACCUCAUGCUAACGUAUAUAAACCAAUUUUUAACAGAAUAAAUGGAUAAAAUUUUUAACA
rfam:Gossypium arboreum cultivar AKA8401 contig_63063_1, whole genome shotgun sequence.